rnacentral:rRNA from 1 species
GACGAACGCUUGCGGCGUGCCUAAGAAAUGCAAGUCGAACGGACAGUGGCUUCGGUUACUGUUAGUGGCGAACGGUCGCGUAACACGUAAGAAACCUGCCUUGAAGCGGGGGACAACAGUCCGAAAGGACUGCUAAUACCGCAUGUGGCCAGUCGGGGGCAUCCCUGACUGUCUAAAGAUUUAUCACUUCAAGAUGGUCUUGCGGCCUAUCAGCUAGUUGGUGGGGUAACGGCCUACCAAGGCGACGACGGGUAGCUGGUCUGAGAGGACGAUCAGCCGGAUUGGGACUGAGAUACGGCCCAGACUCCUACGGGGGGCAGCAAUUAGGAAUCUUGCACAAUGGGCGAAAGCCUGAUGCAGCGACGCCGCGUGAAGGAUGAAGGUU